ensembl:lncRNA
GGCAAACCAUUAGGUCCCUGUGCGCUCCCUGUCACGGGGAAAGUGACAGCACCCUGUGGUUUCCUUUCCAUCGACUCACACUCAUAUGACCUUACUCAGGCAGCCGGCGGAAAAAAAAAUCUGGGUUUCUAAAACCCUCAGCUCGUUUGCUGGGAGAAAGGCACUUCAAGGAAACAAAUUCCAAUUUACGAAGAACCCAAGGACAGGAGCAAAUAUAAAAGCAAUAAAAGAUAUCCAGGAGAUAGGUCCUAUCUGCAGUCAUCACACUGCAAAGCAUGCAUCAUGUUUUUGUCCUUGAGACAUUUUCUUCUCUCCAGCCUCCUUCUAAUACUUCCCUAUCAUAUGAAAAAUGUGAUUAAACUGUUCCGUGGGUGAAAAACUACAAUGAUUUUUUUCUCCCAGAGCCAUUAUUUUGAAGCUGCAGAUGUAGCUGGCCUGUUAUCUACACAUGGAUUAACCCCUUUUGUCCCAGUAUUUUUAUUAUAUUACAUUUUUUGAGACCUGGGAAAAACAGCCUUAAUCAUGGCUUCAAAAUGCCGAGCAGUUCAAGCACAUUCACCUAAAAGUCAUAAUCUUCUGGUAUGAAUGAAAGAUGAAUUUUGAUUAAAUUAAAAUAAAAAGAUUGGGGAAACAAACGAGAGCCUUAGCAAAAGCCCCAAUUUACCAGUGUCCAGAGGAUGUGAAAGAAACAACAUGUAGGAAAAGUGCACAUGAAUUUCACUCACAAUAAAACAUGCAAUUACAAAAAUAAUAUUGUGUAUAUUGUGUGACUACACAGAAAUGUUCAUGAUACUGGAGGUACAGGUUUCGUGAUCAUUUUAACAUUGCUUUAAAACAGAGAUUUGGACACUGACAGCGAUUCUUUAACUGACUUUAUCGUUGGCCACACAAUAGCCACUGCAAUGGGAAACGACAGUAGAGAAACAUGUAAUUGCCGCUUGUAUUCACGCCCUUGCUCUUUUUUUCCCCAGCAACAGUAAACACUGACAAAACUGUCAGAGACAGAGACUCAAUGUCGGAAGGAAAAAUUGAAGGGAAGGAGACGUGGAUGAAGGGAAAAAUGGGAUUAGGACUUGCGUAAAAGGAUGAAGUGACGGAUGAGGAGGACGGGUAAAACAGAGGGGAAUCGGCAAGGGCGGAGGGGACACAGAAGUGGAAAGGAAGGAAUCAGGGACGGAAAGAGGCAGAGAAGAUGGUCUGACCAUCCAAUGCAGGGCUGUGUUUAGGGACACCUCUGGGACAUUACAGAUGGCUGGGCAACAGUUGAGCGAGGGAAAAGGGAAGUACUUCUCUUACAAAAUGGUGACACCAAAUUUUGGACGAUCUGCAAAAUAAUUGAAAUCCGACCAUACAGACACGAAACCGAGUGCCACUGUUUGUCUUUGGACUUCUAUGUGCUCUGAUUUUUAAACGCAAGCCUGAGCAAAAGUGUUGACUCACCACCACUUAGGGGGAAUUGAGGAAUUUGCCUAUCGUGUUCGGUAACGUUACAAAGUGGAUUAUUGAUGCUGCACCUGGGGGAGAAAAUCCUAUUUAAGCCACUAAGGGUUUAUAGAAUGCAGCGGCUGAGACAAUGGGGAGAGUCACAAUGUCGUCAAAGUCAAAUCUAGUAAGGUCAGUUUAAAAAGUGAAAGUCUUUAACAGCAAAUACCACCACACCAUUUAGUGAGGAGAGAUUCAUGUACCAACGGAUUUAUUUUCCAUUCUGUAUUUAUUUCUGUUCGUCCAUUUCCAACGGUAAAUGAGCCAUGCCUCACCUGGCCUCAGGUAAGAUGAGAGGAUCUGAAUAAAAAAAAAAAGCUUUCUUAACCUCCUAACGCUGUGUCCAGGAUCUGGUGACUGUAUGUUGUUAUCACCAGUAUGGUUGUUAAUUUAAUGCGGCAAACUCACCGCUCAUUUCUUGUCUUCUGUCAUGCUACUCAAUUAUUUACCUGCUGAUUCCAUUUCUUCAUCAUUUCCUGUAGGAAAAAUGAUGUUCUCAUCUUUCACUUUUUCUUGGCUUUAAAUGUAUCCUAUAAUGAGCAUGAGCCUUAAAACCAACAGUUACCUUUGACCAACCAAUGCUGUUGCCAAAGGUAAUACUUAAAAUCCGACAAUGAUGAAGCAGUCUGAUAUUUGUAACAUAUCCUUAUUGCACACAAGCCUCAGGUUUGGCUUAGUUGAAAUAUUUUGAAACUGUC